rnacentral:rRNA from 1 species
CCUACGGGUGGCAGCAGUGAGGAAUAUUGGUCAAUGGGCGGGAGCCUGAACCAGCCAAGUCGCGUGAGGGAUGACGGCCCUAUGGGUUGUAAACCUCUUUUGCCGGGGAGCAAAGUGCCGCACGUGUGCGGUUUUGCGAGUACCCGGAGAAAAAGCAUCGGCUAACUCCGUGCCAGCAGCCGCGGUAAUACGGAGGAUGCGAGCGUUAUCCGGAUUUAUUGGGUUUAAAGGGAGCGUAGAUGGGUUGUUAAGUCAGUUGUGAAAGUUUGCGGCUCAACCGUAAAAUUGCAAUUGAUACUGGCAGUCUUGAGUACAGUUGAGGUAGGCGGAAUUCGUGGUGUAGCGGUGAAAUGCUUAGAUAUCACGAAGAACCCCGAUUGCGAAGGCAGCUUACUAAACUGUGACUGACAUUGAUGCUCGAAAGUGUGGGUAUCAAACAGGAUUAGAUACCCCUGUAGUC